AUGAUGAGAACUAUCUUAGAUGUUGCACGUAUUCCUCUCACUACCAGUGUUCCUAACUCUGUUCCUUUCCCUUUUCCUCCCCUGGAGUUUUCUAGUGUAUGUUCAGCUGACAGGAGGGUCUCUUCUGCCAACUGGCAUUCAGCAGGAAGCUCCCGAUGCCAGAACACCCUGAAAGAACAUCAUCACUGUAAAACCCUGGUCUUGAGGAAAGCUACACAGCAAGUCAAGAGGAUCUCAGAAGCAAGAGACUGUGAGAAGUUUUCUAAACAGUCUCACCCGGCCUGCAAAAGCCCACCGCUGACUUCAAACCUCUUCAACAUCUACGGGAAGAGCCCUCUGAUCGUGUACUUCCUCCAGAACUAUUCCAGGCUGCGCCAGCACGGAGGGAAAGGACCAAGGUCAUACCAUAUCCUUGUCACUGCAGGUGGGGCACAGAAGCAGGGCUCAGGGAGAGGCACAGAGCCAGGCACCAAGUAGGUAGGUACUUGUUGGGGUGGCCUUCGAGAUGAGCCU
rnacentral:lncRNA from 1 species